AGUCAGACACUCUGCUCACAAAGAUCAGCAGCACAGCUUUGCCUCGCUCACCCCACACACUGGUUCCGGCAACAGUUUCCAGGCUCCAGAUUUUUGGGAGGCAAAGCAGCAUCUGAGGCUCUGUGGAGGUUGCAGCCCUCAAGACUGCGGGGGAAGACCUUGUGCCUGCAAUCACGAGGGAAGUGUACCCAAGACCCUCACGUGUGCUGUGUUUAGGCAACUUAAGUGGACCCAACCAGAUGAGAGUAUUCGACAAAAUAAGAUAAAUACUACAGAGGGAAAUGAAGCCAGAGGGACACAGACAACGAGAAAGGCGCCCUUUGAGCUGAACUCUAUGUGAAGACCCAGACAUCAAAGACCAGCUAGAGGUUUAUCAAUUUUGGGACGUGCCUCCAUCUCAUCUCCUCAGACUCGGUGUUUCAACAAUGGCUUUGCUCCUCAGUCACCUCUCUCUGGAAGGAUCCCUCAAUGGAUGAGUACACCUGCCUCUGGAUGGCACAUGAAGCGUGGGGGCAGAAUCAAUCCACAUUGCUGUCUGAAUGUAGUACCACUGCUAGAAGCAGGUCAAUCAACAACCAGGCCUACAGGAGGAGGGAGGAAGAAGA
rnacentral:lncRNA from 1 species